GUUGAUCCUGCGGGAGAUCGCUGCUAUUAGGAUUCGACUAAGCCAUGCGAGUCAAGGGGACCUUCGGGUCACCGGCAAAAUGCUCAGUAACACGUCGAUAACAUGCCCUUAGGUCCAAGAUAACCUCGGGAAACUGAGGCUAAGAUUGGAUAGGAGAAUUGUUCUGGAAGGUCUUUUCUCUGAAAGGUUACGCCUAAGGAUUGGUCGGCGGCGGAUUAGGUUGUUGGUGGUGUAACGGACCACCAAGCUUAUGAUCCGUACGGGCCUUGGGAGAGGGAGCCCGGAGAAGGGCACUGAGAUACUGGCCCUAGCCCUACGGGGUGCAGCAGGCGCGAAACCUUUACAAUGCACGAAAGUGUGAUAAGGGAAUCCUAAGUGCUCAUGCAUAGCAUGGGCUUUUGCCAAGAGUAAGAAUCUUGGCGAAUAAGUGGUGGGUAAUACCGGUGCCAGCAGCCGCGGUAACACCGGAGCCACAAGUGGGGAUCAUGAUUAUUGGGCCUAAAGCGUCCGUAGCUGGACUAGUAAAUUUCUUGUGAAAUUGUUCAGCUUAACUGAACAGCGUGCAGGAAAGACUGCUAGUCUUGGAACCGGGAGGGGUUAGGAGUAUUCUUGGGGGAGCGGUAAAAUGCUAUAAUCCCAAGAGGACUACCUGUGGCGAAGGCGCCUAACCAGAACGGGUUCGACAGUGAGGGACGAAAGCUAGGGGAGCGAACCGGAUUAGAUACCCGAGUAGUCCUAGCAGUAAACGCUGCGAGCUAGGUGUUGCGUAUCCUACAUGGAUAUGCAGUGUCGAAAUGAAGAUGUUUAGCUCGCCGCCUGGGAAGUAUGGUCGCAAGGCUGAAACUUAAAGGAAUUGGCGGGGGAGCACCACAAGGGGUGCGGCGUGCGGUUUAAUCUAACUCAACGCAGAGAAUCUCACCAGAGGCGACGGCAGAAUGAAAGUCAGUCUGAAGGGCUUACUUAACAAGCCGAGAGGUGGUGCAUGGCCGCCGUCAGCUCGUGCUGUGAGGUGUCCUGUUAAGUCAGGCAACGAGCGAGAUCUGCACCUACAAUUGCCAUCGGGUUCAUCAGAACGGCCGGGCACAAUGUAGGGACUGCCCUGGAAACAGGGAGGAAGGCGCAGGCUACGGUAGGUCUGUAUGCCCCGAAUCCUCUGGGCUACACGCGCGCAACAAUGGUAGUGACAAUGGGAUGCAACUCCGAAAGGAGAAGCUAAACCUCUAAACCCUAUCCAAGUUCAGAUUGAGGGCUGUAACUCGCCCUCAUGACGAUGGAAUCCCUAGUAAUCGUGAGUCAUCAUCUCACGGUGAAUAUGUCCCUGCUCCUUGCACACACCGCCCGUCAAACCACUCGAGCAGGAUUUAGAUGAGUAUUAGCGUUUAGCUAAUCCGAAUCUAAGUUCAGUGAGAUGGGUUAAGUCGUCACAAGGUA
rnacentral:rRNA from 1 species